AUUGAACGCUGGCGGCAGGCCUAACACAUGCGAGUCGAGCGGAUGAAGGGAGCUUGCUCCUGGAUUCAGCGGCGGACGGGUGAGUAAUGCCUAGGAAUCUGCCUGGUAGUGGGGGAUAACGUCCGGAAACGGGCGCUAAUACCGCAUACGUCCUGAGGGAGAAAGUGGGGGAUCUUCGGACCUCACGCUAUCAGAUGAGCCUAGGUCGGAUUAGCUAGUUGGUGGGGUAAAGGCCUACCAAGGCGACGAUCCGUAACUGGUCUGAGAGGAUGAUCAGUCACACUUGAACUGAGACACGGUCCAGACUCCUACGGGAGGCAGCAGUGGGGAAUAUUGGACAAUGGGCGAAAGCCUGAUCCAGCCAUGCUGCGUGUGUGAAGAAGGUCUUCGGAUUGUAGAGCACUUUAAGUUGGGAGGAAGGGCAGUAAGUUAAUACCUUGCUGUUUUGACGUUACCAACAGAAUAAGCACCGGCUAACUUCGUG
rnacentral:rRNA from 1 species